UGCGUAGGUGGUUGUUUAAGUCUGCUGUGAAAGCCCCGGGCUCAACCUGGGAAUGGCAGUGGAUACUGGACAGCUAGAGUGCGGUAGAGGGUAGUGGAAUUCCCGGUGUAGCAGUGAAAUGCGUAGAGAUCGGGAGGAACACCAGUGGCGAAGGCGGCUACCUGGACCAGCACUGACACUGAAGCACGAAAGCGUGGGAGCAAACA
rnacentral:rRNA from 1 species